AUUGGGGGAAGUAAUUUUUUGAGACAUAUGAGGGACAAGUUCCUUAUCCUUUGGCCUAGGGGAAAGUCCCUGGACCAUGGGCAGAGAGAGUAGACUACCCCCGUGAGUCACAGAUAGUCCACCAAGCAAUCCUCUUGGGGCCAGCCGAGUGGUGUGUAGCGGGAUGUCAUCUGUCAGUUCUCCUAGUGACACAGGCAUUGUUCCUUGCAUGCACCAACCAAAUGGGGCUCAUUCUCAGCCUGG
rnacentral:RNase_MRP_RNA from 1 species